rnacentral:lncRNA from 1 species
AACUGGUCUGAGACGGUGAAUUUAUGUAUUGUUCCAGAGAUUCAACAUUGUUUGUUAUCUGUGCCUUAUUUGUUAAGUAAGGGGUUCAAAAUUUGUUUUGAAAACGAUGUCUGCACGAUCUCCAAAGGGGGGAGGUUACUGGCCAAAGUGCGGAAGGGACAGAAUGAUCUUUUCAUUCUUAAAACGUCUCUUGGAGGUGAGGGGAAGGUUGAGAAAGCACAAGCGUUGCGUGCUACAGUUCCCGCUCAUAAUGUUACAUGUGCAUGCGUAUGGCAUCAGAGAACGAUUCACAAUCCUUUAGAGGAUUUGCAGGUGUUACCUGAGGUUGUUACAGGUUGUAAGAUUAAAAAUUGUCAAAGUGCCAUUAAUUGUGAAACCUGCAGGCUAGCAAAGGUAAAAGGAUGCAGUUACCCAAAGGUGGAACGUGUAGCCACUAAACCUUUUGAGCUGGUUCACAUAGAUUUGUCCGGUCCUGUCAAGGCACCAAGUCUAGGGGGGGCCAGGUUUCUGCUCGUUUUUCUGGAUGAUUUCUCGCAGAAUUCCUGGGCUCACGGUCUUAAAUCCAGGGAGGAUGCAGCACGGCUGAUCAAGAGCUGGAUUGAAGGGGUGGAACAGAGGUUCUCCACCAGGGUUCAAGCUAUCAUCAGUGACAGAAAUGCUAAGUACACUGGUUCUGCUUUGCAGGAGUUCUUUCACAAGAAAGGGAUACGACACACAGUUAUUUCACCCCAGCAAGGUGGGGUGGCAGAGCUGCGAAGUGGAGCUCUAGUUCAGGCUGCACAGGUGUUGCUGAAAGAUUCUGAGUUACCUCCAAGGUUUUGGCUGGAGGCAAUCAAGUAUGUGAGCUUCACCUGGAAUCGUGUCUAUAACUCAUUGGUAGGUGACACACCGUUUUCUUUGUUAAAUGGCCGAAAACCCCAGGUUCACUUUCUGCGGACGUUUGGGACCCCUGCGCUUGUCUCUGUGCCUGAGGCUUUGCGAGGGCCAGAUGGAGCCAAAGUCCAGAAAAUGAUCUUCUGUGGGUAUGAGCCAGAAGCCCGUGCAUGGAGGUUCGCAUUUCCAUCAGGUGAUCAGAGUAAGUUACUGAUCAGUAAACACGCUGAGUUCUUUGAGCAGAGUGAGAAGCCAAAGAUUGUUUUCCAGCGUGAUCUUCUCUCAGAUUGUCUCUCUGACCCAGAGGACAGUUGUGAUGAGGAGGAAGGAGAGGCUGAGCCUGCUGAUGAGGACCAGGUCCAGGAUCAGGGUUCAGAAUCCGAUGAUGAUGAUCAGUUCACUGACCAAAGUCAGGAGCAAAGUCAGGAACAGGAGGAGGUAUCUGUAGUUUCUCCACAAGAUGUUAAGAGAGCACCCAAAAGCGAGCCUAGUUCUCCUGUGAGUGUGAUGGAAAGGAUUCGAAGACGCUUUAAGUCAGAAGGGGAAUCCCGUGAUGCAGAGGUCACACCUGCUGGUGACGGUGAGCCAGAGGAAACAUCUGUGUUUGUGCCUAGGAGGUCCAGUCGCACAACCAAGGGUAUUCCGCCAGAGAGGUAUCAGGCCACAGGUGCGUGGGCAAAUUUCGCACAGUGCGUUUCUGAAAGUUGUGAGGUGGUUCCACAAAUGCCAAACAGGUUUGCCAAGGGAAGGGCGCAAGGCAUUGGGGAAGGAAUUGAUCUCACAAGGUAUUACUGAAGAUGUUGCACAGGUAUCACGCAGGGACACAAGGGGGGGUGUUAUAGUUCAGAAUUUAUCUGGUUAAAUUCCCUGGUGUGUGUCACCUGCUGACGUCAGCUUACAGCUGGGCGGAGACAGAAGCUUUAGAAGCUGGGCGGGACUAUUCCCUGUUUGUUCAGUCCCACUCUGUGUUCCGUGGGGAAAAGACGUAGGUCUGGCAUGGCUGCAAAUAGUCCUGGAAAUUCCUGAGAAAUGUUGGAAUAAAAGCUGUAAAUAGACGGACCUGUCUAUGUGUGUUUGUCUGGAAGCUGAACCAAGCAACGUGACAGUUCUACACCGCUGUGCGGAAACUCUGCUGAGCCGUGACGGAGAGGCGCUGCGGAAGUGUGCCGGGCGGCCAUAUAUCGCUAAUCGAGGUUCGUAAAUCAAUUAGCGGGAGUCACGGCUAACUACCAAAUGUCACAAGUAUUAGGCUGUGGUCUAGGUAUCAGCAGUGGGGAAAGGUUCAGAUUAUUAAUGUAUCUAGAUUUACAGAUGAUAUUGGCAAUGGGUGAGUGGCAAUUAAUUAUGCUUUCUUCUUAAAUUGAGUUUGGAAUGGAUUUCUGGAAUCCGUGCCCUUACGAUAAUGCAUUUCCUAAUUAAUUAAAAUGGGGUCGAAAAAUACAUUCGCAUAUGGCAAUCCUCAAAAUGCUUACUGAGAAGUAAGUCGCCCCUGAACGCAGCAAGACUUACUUCUGAGUAAACAUGCAUAGACUUGCACUGGAAAGAGGGUUGGGGGGGGGGAGAGAAUAAGCUUUUGCUUUGACAUGUGAUUCCUUUUCACAGAGUAAACAAGUUAGAUAAUGAGCUUUGAGCCUGAGUCUACCAGCCUUCCAAACACAGAAUGUUGUUUUUCCCCCCUCCUCCUUUUGAUGCAUGCAGGGAUUUCUGUGCAGCCCUUGUGCUAAGCCACUGCAGGAAGUAUAUGGGUACAGCAAAUCCCUUGUGAAACCUCUUGCAAAAGCUUCAAAGGACAAUGUAAACAGGAGGAGCUGAUAGGGCUGAUUCACAGGAGAGAUUGCACCGUGCUUCACAGAAGAAGGGGGAAGACUAUGCAUCUUCAUUAGGAAAGCAACUGAAGACAGUGUCUGUACUCACAUGAACAUAAGCAAAACAUUACCUGGUACUUUUAUUGAGAUUCUUUCAGAGAGGAUCCUUUACUUCUGUACAGAAGUACUUUGUUGUUGGAGCCUGAGGCAAACUAGAUGCACAUCCCUAGCCAUGGGCCAUAUUGGCUGGGGGGGUGGGUGAGUUUGAGGCCAACAUCUGGAGGGCCACAGGUUCCCCACUCCUGUCUUAGUGGGAGCUUUUGUUCUGUGGUAGUUCAUUACGUAAAGGGGCCCCUGACCAUUAGGUCCAGCCGUGACCGACUCUGGGCUUGCGGCGUUCAUCUCGCUUUAUUGGCCGAGGGAGCCUGCGUAUAGCUUCCGGGUCAUGUGGCCAGCAUGACUAAGCCGCUUCUGGCGAACCAGAGCAGCGCACGGAAACGCCGUUUACCUUCCCGCCGGAGCGGUACCUAUUUAUCUACUUGCACUUUGACAGGCUUUCGAACUGCUAGGUUGGCAGGAGCAUGGACCGAGCAACGGGAGCUCACCCCGUCACAGGGAUUCGAACCGCCGACCUUCUGAUCAGCAAGUCCUAGGCUCAGUGGUUUAACCCACAGCGUGACAGAAAAGGAUGAGGAGGCUGCAACACCCAUUUCCCUGCUCCUUUUUCCUUUUAAAGGAGGCUUGAGCCAAAGACAGCAGGGAAGUUCUGGCAACUUUAGCUUUGCAGAAAGAGCCAGUUUGACAAAAGAAGUGAGUAAAUUACAGUUUAGGGCCUAUCUUCACUAUCAGAGACAGUAUGCCUCUGAAUACCAGUUGCUGGAAACCAUGAGACGGGAGAAUGUUUUUGUGCUCAUGUCCUGUUUGCGGGUUUCCCUCAUGUAUUGUCAGGAUGCUGUCAGCGACUCCCAGCUGGUUGCCCAGGAAAGUAUAGAGACAAGGAAAAGUUUCCUACCAUCCUUUUUUAUUUCAGUCUUUACAGAGAGAGGCUAUAGAACCCAGCCUUUUGGAUAAUGGUGUUGCCCCAAGUGAAUCUCCACUUCCCAUCCCUCCCACUUCCUCACUCGUCAUUCUCAUCAUCUCCUCUACAAGUGCUGCUAUGUGUUCUUUGUCUUUGAGCUCUUUGCUCUCCUACUUUUAAGGCUCACCGGGUACUAGGAGAUGGGGUGUCUGGAAUGCUUUCUAAUGACAACGUGCCAGCUGGGUGUUGUUCCUGUGAUUUUCCAGCUUUCCCCCUCAUCUGCCUCUGAGCUGCUACCUCCCUCAAACCCCUGUUGUAAAUCCAUACUGUCUUCCUCCUCCUCCUCCUCUUCCUCCCUGGAAGAGUCAGGAUGGGGAGGAGGUCUUCACCAUUCCUCCUCUGCCCAGUCCCUGACAUGUACAGUGGUACCUUGGGUUAAGUAAUUAAUUGGUUCCGGAGGUCCAUUCUUAACCUGAAGCACUACUGUAGCUAAUGGGGCCUCCAGCUGCCGCUGCACCACCAGAGCAUGAUUUCUGUUCUCAUCCUGAAGCAAAGUUCUUAACCUGAGGUACUAUUUCUGGGUUAGCAGAGUCUGUAACCUGAAGCGUAUGUAACCCGAGGUACCACUGUAUAUGGUUGGCCACUGUGAGAACAGGAUGUUGGACUAGAUGGGCCACUGGCCUGAUCCAGCACUCUCUUUUUAUGUUCUUAUAUAGACAGUUAGUUUAGAAAGAGCAUUGGACAGAAGACAGCAGGGAAGACCUCAGUCAGAGCCCAGCCAAGUUGAAUAGACAAUACUUGGAGAGCUAAACAAAUAGUCUGAAACUACUCUAAGGCAUCUUCCAGUGUCUUCCAAGAUAGGGCAGAAAGCAGUGGCGGACUUGAGUACUAUGGUGCCCUGUGCAAGGCCAAAAUUUGCCGCCUCACCCAAAGGCAGGUAAGGAGGCACCCAACUUUGAGAAGGAGGCACAAGGGCCCUGGCAGGGUCCUAGAGCCCUCCCACCUCCUUCCCAAAGCUGGAAAAGUGCUAACUCGGCUUUGAGGCUGUGCCCCCUCAGCUCAGCUCAUGUGCACUGCUGCACAGCCAUAAAUCCACCACUGGCAGAGAGUCUCAGGUGAAAAGCAAUUCCUGUCAUUCAUGCAAUUUGAUGGAAUUAUUCUUGGCUGCUAUAAGGAGGGACCUGUACCAUGAGAACAAGGUAUACCCUGUUUGUGUGAUUUCAGCAGCAGCUUGAUCUGAGAUCAGCAGGUAAUAACACUGACCUCCGUGCAGCAAAAAAAAACAUCCCCAAGCUUUACCUGCUCAUUUCUACAGAUCCAGCUCCUCUUGAAGGCUCAGGAGUAGACUAGGCCAUUUCUGUAGGCCACUUGGCAAACCGCACCUAAGAAGCUCAAAAACGGGCACCGUUUAGCUUUAAAGAAAUCCACCACAGCGGCAAAGUAAAAGACAAUAUCGAACAGCCACCAUCACCACCACACUGGGCGGUCAUGGCAGAUCAUUACAUAUGGUUAGACUGGGUGAAUUUCUAGCAUGGUGACCUAGUAGCCAUGGCAACCACAGUGCUGUGAUGAUAAGUUCUUUGAAUGCUUUUCCCAGUCAGAAACAGGAUGCUGAUAAUUUACAUUAUUCUGCCAUGUCCCUGUUCAGAGAGAUACGGAAUCCAAGGGAAAAGCUACGCGAAGUCCCUGCUCCCUGAGCUGUGCACAGAGCACUGCAGAUGGCAGGUAGAAUAGCUUGACUGACAGAUACAGAGACACUCAGGUGCAUCUUCCCUGCAAAGCAGCUGCUUGCCUAGCAUUGGGGAGGGGCAGAGGAGGGCCCCAAGUAUUGAUGGGUUUGAAAUAUUUUAUACCAUCCUCCCACUAAAACAGAGACAGGGAACCAUUCCAGCCCAAGAGCCACGUUUCUUUGGGGCAAGCUUCCAGGGGCCGCAUACAAAGGUGGGUGUUGUCAUGGGUGAAAGUGGGCAGAGUUCAGAGGACCAGAGAGAGAGUGGUCCAGAGAGCCACAUUUGUUGAUGUUUAUGGUCUUUCAUAGGGUGGCGCUGUGGGUUAAACCACAGAGCCUAGGACUUGCCGAUUGAAAGGUCGGCGGUUCAAAUCCCUGCAACAGAGUGAGCUCCCGUUGCUCGGUCCCUGCUCCUGCCAACCUAGCAGUUCCAAAGCACAUCAAAGUGCAAGUACUCUGGCGGGAAGGUAAACGGCAUUUCCGUGUGCUGCUCUGGUUCGCCAGAAGCAGCUUAGUCAUGCUGGCCACAUGAU